UCCAGUGAAAAAGGCGAUUGAGUUGAAGUCAAGAGGAGUCAAGAUGCUGCCCAGCAAGGAUGGAAGCCAUAAAAACUCUGUCUGUUAUCAGCAAGAGUUCAGGAAGUGCAGGAACAGAAAGAGAUCAUGACAAGGAAUGGGAGAAUUUCCCUGACGGCCUCAGGAAACCUGCAAUUUGAUAGUUAAACAGAUCAAGCUCACUCAUUUGAGCUGAUGGGACAUGCUGUGUACAGAGGAGCAUUUGCAGUUACAACAGUUUAUAGCCAUGCAGGAUUGGGCAGUUAAUCCAGAACCAUUAUUUAAUAAAAAGCUGAUUUUUUUUAAAUGUGGAA
rnacentral:sRNA from 1 species